CACGAACGCUGGCGGCAUGGCUAAAACAUGCAAGUCGAACGCGAAAGCCCUUCGGGGGCAAGUAGAGUGGCGAAAGGGCGAGGAAUACGUUUCCAUGUAACCCCCGGUCGGGGAUAGCCCGGAGAAAUCCGGAGUAAUACCCGAUGUGGUCCUUCGGGAUCAAAGGCUUCGGUCGCCAGGGGAGCGGGGAACGCCCUAUCAGGUUGUUGGUGAGGUAACGGCUCACCAAGCCUAAGACGGGUAGCGGGUGUGAGAGCAUGACCCGCCGCAUCGGGACUGAGACACUGCCCGGACUCCUACGGGAGGCUGCAGUAACGAAUCUUCCGCAAUGCGCGAAAGCGUGACGGAGCAAUGCCGCGUGCAGGAUGAAGCUCUUCGGAGUGUAAACUGCUGUCAGGGUUUAGCAACACAAUGAGCAGACCCAAAGGAAGGGCCGGCUAACUUCGUG
rnacentral:rRNA from 1 species